rnacentral:rRNA from 1 species
CGGGUGAGUAAUGCGUGACUAACCUGCCCCAUGCUCCAGAAUAGCUCUUGGAAACGGGUGGUAAUGCUGGAUGCUCCAACUUGACGCAUGUCUUGUUGGGAAAGUGUUUAGUGGCAUGGGAUGGGGUCGCGUCCUAUCAGCUUGUAGGCGGGGUAAUGGCCCACCUAGGCUUCGACGGGUAGCCGGCCUGAGAGGGCGGACGGCCACAUUGGGACUGAGAUACGGCCCAGACUCCUACGGGAGGCAGCAGAG